rnacentral:rRNA from 1 species
AUGAGAGCAGCAUUGCUCACGUCCGUUCAUGACUAUCCAGGUUAUAGAUAUAUCUUCGGACAUGCAUGCCAUGGACAGUGCGAUUGUGUUAAAUGUAUGGAUGACACAUCUUUUCGGCAGCUAUCAAAAAAGGUCAGUAGGAAAACCGUGUUCAUGGGCCAUAGAAGGUGUCUUGACAAAGAGGGUGAGUGGAGAACUCAUGGAGAUCUUUUUGACAACACUAAUGAGACCCGAGGGCUACCGUCUAAGGGGUCUGGAGCAGCAAUCAUGGAAAUGUUAAUGAAUUGGGAAGAUUGCCCUAAGCCAGGAAAAAAAAGAAAGAAGUCCCCUGAGAAAAUCUGCUAA